rnacentral:rRNA from 1 species
UACGUAGGGGGCAAGGGUUGUCCGGAUUCAUUGGGCGGAAAGAGCGUGUAGGCGGCCAGGUAGGUCGGUUGUGAAAACUGGAGGCUCAACCUUCAGACGUCGACCGAAACCAUCUGGCUAGAGUCCGGGAGAGGAGAGUGGAAUUCCUGGUGUAGCGGUGAAAUGCGCAGAUAUCAGGAAGAACACCCGUGGCGAAAGCGGCUCUCUGGGACGGUACUGACGCUGAGACGCGAAAGCGUGGGGAGCAAACAGG